GGUCAAGUGAAGAAGCGCAUACGGUGGAUGCCUUGGCAGUCAGAGGCGAUGAAAGACGUGGUAGCCUGCGAUAAGCUUUGGGGAGUCGGCAAACAGACUGUGAUC
rnacentral:rRNA from 1 species